UACAGAGGGUGCGAGCGUUGUCCGGAAUCACUGGGCGUAAAGGGCGCGUAGGUGGUGCGACAAGUCAGUGGUGAAAGCUCGAUGCUUAACAUCGAGUCGGCCACUGAUACUGUUGGGCUUGAGCACUGUAGAGGCUAAUGGAAUUCCGGGUGUAGCGGUGGAAUGCGUAGAGAUCCGGAAGAACACCGGUGGCGAAGGCGGUUAGCUGGGCAGUUGCUGACACUGAGGCGCGACAGCGUGGGGAGCAAACAGG
rnacentral:rRNA from 1 species